rnacentral:rRNA from 1 species
AUGAACGCUAGCUACAGGCUUAACACAUGCAAGUCGAGGGGCAGCAUCAUCAAAGCUUGCUUUGAUGGAUGGCGACCGGCGCACGGGUGAGUAACACGUAUCCAACCUGCCGACAACACUGGGAUAGCCUUUCGAAAGAAAGAUUAAUACCGGAUGGCAUAGUUUUCCCGCAUGGGAUAAUUAUUAAAGAAUUUCGGUUGUCGAUGGGGAUGCGUUCCAUUAGGCAGUUGGCGGGGUAACGGCCCACCAAACCAACGAUGGAUAGGGGUUCUGAGAGGAAGGUCCCCCACAUUGGAACUGAGACACGGUCCAAACUCCUACGGGAGGCAGCAGUGAGGAAUAUUGGUCAAUGGACGAGAGUCUGAACCAGCCAAGUAGCGUGAAGGAUGACUGCCCUAUGGGUUGUAAACUUCUUUUAUACGGGAAUAAAGUUAGCCACGUGUGGCUUUUUGUAUGUACCGUAUGAAUAAGGAUCGGCUAACUCCGUGCCAGCAGCCGCGGUAAUACGGAGGAUCCGAGCGUUAUCCGGAUUUAUUGGGUUUAAAGGGAGCGUAGGCGGGUUGUUAAGUCAGUUGUGAAAGUUUGCGGCUCAACCGUAAAAUUGCAGUUGAUACUGGCGACCUUGAGUGCAACAGAGGUAGGCGGAAUUCGUGGUGUAGCGGUGAAAUGCUUAGAUAUCACGAAGAACUCCGAUUGCGAAGGCAGCUUACUGGAUUGUAACUGACGCUGAUGCUCGAAAGUGUGGGUAUCAAACAGGAUUAGAUACCCUGGUAGUCCACACAGUAAACGAUGAAUACUCGCUGUUGGCGAUAUACAGUCAGCGGCCAAGCGAAAGCAUUAAGUAUUCCACCUGGGGAGUACGCCGGCAACGGUGAAACUCAAAGGAAUUGACGGGGGCCCGCACAAGCGGAGGAACAUGUGGUUUAAUUCGAUGAUACGCGAGGAACCUUACCCGGGCUUAAAUUGCAACUGACGGAACCGGAAACGGUUCUUUCUUCGGACAGUUGUGAAGGUGCUGCAUGGUUGUCGUCAGCUCGUGCCGUGAGGUGUCGGGUUAAGUCCCAUAACGAGCGCAACCCCUACCGUUAGUUGCCAUCAGGUGAAGCUGGGCACUCUGGCGGGACUGCCGGUGUAAGCCGAGAGGAAGGUGGGGAUGACGUCAAAUCAGCACGGCCCUUACGUCCGGGGCUACACACGUGUUACAAUGGGGGGUACAGAAGGCAGCUACACGGCGACGUGGUGCUAAUCCCGAAAGCCUCUCUCAGUUCGGAUUGGAGUCUGCAACCCGACUCCAUGAAGCUGGAUUCGCUAGUAAUCGCGCAUCAGCCACGGCGCGGUGAAUACGUUCCCGGGCCUUGUACACACCGCCCGUCAAGCCAUGAAAGCCGGGGGUACCUGAAGUACGUAACCGCGAGGAGCGUCCUAGGGUAAAACUGGUGAUUGGGGCU